ensembl:lincRNA
GCUGUAUUAAAAAUACAAAAAUUAGCUGGGCAUGGUGGUGCGCGACUGUAGUCCCAGCUACUUGGGAGGCUGAGGCAGGAGAAUCACUUGAACUCUGGAGGCGGAGGUUGCAGUGAGCCAAGAUCACACCACUGUACUCCAGCCUGGUGACAGAGUGAGACUCCAUCUCAAAAUAAAAUAAAAUAAACUCUUGUUGCAUCCGAUCUGAGCUGCACCAGACUUUUACUGGAGACACAGUGUUCACAAUAUAUAAUUGAAUCAUAGUACCUUUUACAAUUUUAGUUAGAGAUUUUUAACUGUUAUGUCUUUUAGUUUUCAGCUUUCCUCCACUGUUUUGGGAAACGUCACCUUCUUAUCUUGGAAGAGUAAUCUCAAAAUUGAAGCAUCUUAGAUCCAACAAGAAUUGAAAGGAUGGGAUGUCCUUGCAGCCAUCCAAUAGAGUCAGAAGACUUUGGAUUUUGGAGUCUGUGAGAUGAUGUACUCACAUCCCAACAAAUUGAAAAUGCUGACCAAUCCCAGCACAGUCAACUCGAAUUUGCUCUUUCAUCAAAGUGACCAGCACCUCAUUUCUUCCUCUUUAGAAUUUAUAGGUAAGAGUCAGCAGUCCACUAGGACUCUGUAAAUACAGGGUACACAGAAGAAGCUCUUGUUGGGGGCCACGUUGUCUAGUGAGAGAGGACACGCUACAUUAUCUUAAAGCUUUAAGGUAAAACAUUCCAUUUGUCUUUUUAUUGGGUGAACUGGAAGAACUACUGGAACGGUUGUAGUUACUGAGUCUUCUGGAAUCAUAGUGUAAGUUAGUGAAGGUUUAUACAACUGUGAUUGCAGAACAAGAACAUAAAUGGUGUCAGACUAUGCAAUAUAACAUAAAUGUUCAGAUGAAAAAAAUCAAGUCAUAGAGAGAGGGAAGACAGGUGAUGAAAUAGAUAGGAACUCUAAACCAUGUGCUGUAUAAAGCUAGAAAUCCAGAGAAAAUCUCUAGUUGUUCAAUCAAAAAAUAAAUAUUAAAAUAUGUGAUUUAAAGUUACAAAGGUAACAGAGAUAUAUAUUGUAAUAGUGAUUUAACUCUAGUAGAAGGAAUAGAAGAAGGAUUUUUAGUGUUGUGCAGUUGAAUCCUGUCUUGUUUAGUUGAAGCAGAUAAUGUUUGAAAUGGAUAAAUUUUAAAAUAUAUUUGCAUAAACAUAUUAUUUAGAGUCUUGAACGGAGAAUAGGAGUGAGAAAGGUGAAUUGAGAGAGGAUUGCAUUUCAUUAGGGUUCUCCCGUUUUCCUUGUUCUCAUCUUUCUUUUUUUUAAUAAUGUGUGUACAAAUUCCUCUAAUCAAAUUUAAAAUAUUUAUUUUUAAAAUAUAUUUUUAAAAUUAUAUAUAAUAUAUAGAUGAGAAUAUAAAUGGAAUUAUGUGGAAAAAUAUAUAGACAAAAAUAUAUCAUUAUUCAGUAUGAAAAAGGUAAGGAGGU